UCGAGCGGGAUCCAUCCAGUAGCAAUACUGGUGAAGAUCUAGCGGCGAACGGGUGAGUAACACGUGAGAAGCCUGCCCCGGACUCUGGGAUAACACGAGGAAACUCGUGCUAAUACCGGAUACCUUCUUUUGGUCGCAUGGCCAGCUGAAGAAAGAUUUAUCGGUUUGGGAGGGUCUCGCGGCCUAUCAGCUAGUUGGCGGGGUAACGGCCCACCAAGGCAUCGACGGGUAGCUGGUCUGAGAGGACGAUCAGCCACACUGGGACUGAGACACGGCCCAGACUCCUACGGGAGGCAGCAGUGGGGAAUCUUGCGCAAUGGGCGAAAGCCUGACGCAGCAACGCCGCGUGCGGGAUGAAGGCCUUCGGGUUGUAAACCGCUUUCAGCAGGGAAGAAAUUGACGGUACCUGCAGAAGAAGCCCCGGCCAACUACGUGCCAGCAGCCGCGGUAACACGUAGGGGGCGAGCGUUGUCCGGAUUUAUUGGGCGUAAAGAGCUCGUAGGCGGUUCGGUAAGUCGGGUGUGAAACCUCCAGGCUCAACCUGGAGACGCCACCUGAUACUGCUGUGACUAGAGUCCGGUAGGGGAGUGUGGAACUCCUGGUGUAGCGGUGAAAUGCGCAGAUAUCAGGAAGAACACCAGCGGCGAAGGCGGCACUCUGGGCCGGUACUGACGCU
rnacentral:rRNA from 1 species